UACGGGGGGGGCAAGCGUUGUUCGGAAUUACUGGGCGUAAAGGGCUCGUAGGCGGCCAACUAAGUCAGACGUGAAAUCCCCAGGCUCAAACCUCGGGAACUGCGUGCUGAUACUGGGUGGCUUGAAUCCGGGAGAGGGAUGCGGAAUUCCUGGUGUAGCGGUGGAAUGCGCAGAUAUCAGGAGGAACACCGAUGGCGAAGGCAGGUCUCUGGGCCACUACUGACGCUGAGAAGCGAAAGCAUGGGGAGCGAACAGG
rnacentral:rRNA from 1 species